rnacentral:snRNA from 10 species
AGCUUUGCACAGUGGCAGUAUCGUAGCCAAUGAGGUUUAUCCGAGGCGCGAAUAUUGCUAAUUGAAAACAUUUCUUAUCAAGCACUGUUGCCUCCUCCUUUGUUUCCCCUUACCAUCCCUUCCCAUCUCCCACCCCCCAUGCCAUCGACUUCCCACCAAAGUUGUAAAGUUUAUUUUUCGACAUAAUUCUUGUACAUCUCAUUGUUGCAAUGGGU